AUCUAAUUAUUAAAGUGAACAGAACCAUUAGCAUUUUAAUUUCGGAACUAGCCUUAUUUAAAAAAACUCCCGGAGUCCGUUGAUGGAUCAGAUAAAAUAAUCAUAGGCCACAUUCUGAUCGCUGCUACAUCCUGUUUACCAAAAUGUGCCAUCUCUCAGAGAAGAUUUUAAUUUGAUUCUAGAAAACAAGGCACACAAAUUAUCGCAUAGAGCUAAUAUACAUGGUUUCCCAAUAUUAAAAUAUAAUUGGGAUAAAUGGGAAG